UGUCGACACGGGACGUGCCGGUCCGUUUAAGGCCGGAGGAAGGUGGGGAGUGAUGUCAAGUCAGCAUGGCCUUUAUAUCCUGGGCUACACACACGCUACAAUGGCCAACACAAUAGGUUGCUAAGCCGCGAGGUGGCGCCAAUCCAUAAAGUUGGUCUCAGUUCAGAUUGUAGGCUGCAACCCGCCUGCAUGAAGAUGGAGUUGCUAGUAACCGCAGGUCAGCUAUACUGCGGUGAAUACGUUCCCGGGGCUU
rnacentral:rRNA from 1 species